GUGCUCGCGUCGGCAGCACAUAGACUAGAAUUGGAACGAUACAGAGAAGGUUACAUGGCCCCUGAGCAAGGAUGACACGCAAAUUUGUGAAGCAUUCCAUAUUAAA